UACGUAGGGUGCAAGCGUUGUCCGGAAUUAUUGGGCGUAAAGAGCUCGUAGGCGGUGUGUCACGUCGGCCGUGAAAACCUGCAGCUUAACUGUGGGCGUGCGGUCGAUACGGGCAUCACUGGAGUUCGGCAGGGGAGACUGGAAUUCCUGGUGUAGCGGUGAAAUGCGUAGAUAUCGGGAGGAACACCAGUGGCGAAGGCGACUUCCUGGCCUGUUCUUGACGCUGAGGCGCGAAAGCUAGGGUAGCAAACGGG
rnacentral:rRNA from 1 species